AGCGAACGUUAGCGGCGCGCCUAACACAUGCAAGUCGCACGAGAAACGGAGCCAAUCCGCGGUACAGUGGCGCACGGGUGAGUAACACGUGGAUGACCUUCCCUGGAGUGGUGGAUAACCUGCCGAAAGGCGGGCUAAUACAGCAUGGGACCACGCUGCUUUGGCGGUGUGGUGAAAGCGGGCUUCUGUUUACAUGCUCGCGCUCCGGGAUGGGUCCGCGUCCCAUCAGCUAGUUGGUGAGGUAACGGCUCACCAAGGCUACGACGGGUAGCUGGUCUGAGAGGAUGGCCAGCCACACUGGAACUGAGACACGGUCCAGACUCCUACGGGAGGCAGCAGUGGGGAAUCUUGCGCAAUGGGCGAAAGCCUGACGCAGCGACGCCGCGUGGGCGAAGAAGGCCUUCGGGUUGUAAAGCCCUGUGGGGGAGAACGAACUGUGCGGGGCCAAUACCCUCCGUGCUUGACGGUACUCCUUUAGCAAGCAUCGGCUAACUCUGUG
rnacentral:rRNA from 1 species